rnacentral:tRNA from 1 species
GCCUUCGUGGUGUAAUUGGAAGCAUGCUCGACCUGCAUUUGAGAGGUUCAGGGUUCGAGUCUCGGCAAGGGCA